AUUCAUUGAACGGCAGGAAGGGGGCUGCUGAGCUAAUGAGCAUCGCUCGUCCUUCACCGCCUCCUGCUCACUCCCAGAGCCAUAACGGGGCUGACAUCAGGUGGAAACACUAUGCUAGGUUGUAUCUAGUGCCCGUGCCUGACCUUGAAUCUUUAACUUGGACAGGAAAGAAAGUGCUUUGUGCAAGGGCCACGGCUCCAUCACGAGCUCUGCAGCCACCUUGGAGCGUACGAAGGGCAGCACCAGACUUUGCACAUCAGACUUUGCACAUCAGACUUUGCAGUGGAAGGCCACGAGCCAUGUGGCAGAGGAGUAGGGUCCCACCUGGAAAUGGUCUUGUAAUUUGGUGCCCUGACUCUGCCCCAUAUCCCCAGCAAGAGCCCAGGAAAACACGGCAGAAGUACAAGUGAAGGAGGUGCAGGCAGCAGAGCAGAGAAGUCAAGAGAGCAUCAUCCCAAAGAUGAGAGCUGACAGCCUCAGCAAGACAAUCCAGCCACGAGCAGCCUCCUUUUCCAUCUCGCAGAGGGGAAGCCAAAGCAAAGUGAAAUGGCUGGUCCCAACCAAAAAUAGGACCUGGAGCACCCGACAGCGACGCCUCUGCUUCAACUGUUCGCUCACUCCGCUUCCCUGUUGCCUAGGGAGACAGCGUGUCACCAGGAGAAAGGAGCUGUAAGAGAAGGUGCCUCUUGAGUCCUUCUCUGGACUCCAACAGGAGAAUGAUCUUCACCUGGCUUCACCAGCUCUGCCAGUUCACAUCCUCAGCUCUGAGGACCCUUAUCAAGAUGCUAGCGGUGAUGGUGACCACCCUUUGCUAGCUCCAAGCUGCAGAGAGACCAACGAGAAGUGCUGCCCACAGCCCAGUGUUCUGUAAGGAGGGGGAGUGUAAAUUUAAAGCAGUCUGGGAAAAAAAUAAAAUAAAAUAAAUGUUUUCAGAUGAAUUUCAGGUCUAGUUCUGCUCAGAAAUUAAACCUCAUCAUUUGUGAUCAACUGCACAAUUUUCUGCUGUAUCUUCUGUAUUUUGUUCUUGUUGCUAAAACCUCCACGUAAACAUUUAAUUUACCACCCUACAUUAUGACAAAGAAGGUCAGCAAGUUCGGGGUUACAUUUUGCCUGCCAGUAGCCCAUGGUAUGCCCGUGGCUCAAUGCCAUUUCCUGCCCUCAGGUUUGCACAGUUGCAGGACCAGGGCCCAGCUCCGACACGCGACGUUGAGAGCUGGCACACUGCUCAUUGCCUCUGCGUUUCAGAAGCAGAAGACUCAAAUCUUAAAAGCACUGUUUUCGUAUAGAAUGGCCUGGGUUGAAAAGGACCAUAAAGAUCAUCUAGUUUCAACCCCCCUGCUCUGGGCAGGGUUGCCAACCACCAGAGCAGGCUGCCCAGGCCCUGCUUUCUUCUUGAAAACGCUGUCAUCCCAAGGGCUCUUAAUUCA